UACGUAGGGUGCAAGCGUUAAUCGGAAUUACUGGGCGUAAAGCGUGCGCAGGCGGUUGUGUAAGACAGAUGUGAAAUCCCCGGGCUUAACCUGGGAAUGGCAUUUGGGACUGCAAGGCUGGAGUGCGGCAGAGGAGACUGGAAUUCCUGGUGUAGCAGUGAAAUGCGUAGAUAUCAGGAGGAAUACCGAUGGCGAAGGCAGGUCUCUGGGCUGACACUGACGCUCAUGCACGAAAGCGUGGGGAGCAAACAGG
rnacentral:rRNA from 1 species